rnacentral:lncRNA from 1 species
GGGGCGAGAGAAGUGAGAUGUGACACAAGAGGGAAAAGAAGAGAGCCUUCGACAAUGUUGGGUCACCAGCAAGUGUACCGAAUCAUACAAGUAAUAUAAAAUGGUAAGACCAAAUAUCGUGUCCCAAGAGACUCUCGACACUAGACAGUCGUGUGAUAACUCGAUUAAUUAAGACUUAAAAGGAACAAAAUCAUUGGUUUAGAAUGAAAAUACAGAAAAUUAAAUAUGAAUACAGUUUUAAUCAAUUGAAGAGUAGCACAACGAUAAACAAAUGAUGUUUGUAAUAUGAGAUGAAUAUGUUGUUGGGGUUAGAUUUCACCAAGUUUACUCUCAUGCAAGUAAAAAAUCUUCUUUUGUCAUUAAUUUCAACGUUACUCACUAAAUUACUUAAAACUCGAUCCCUCGGUGAAGAAAGCCUAUCCUUAAUUACUAGGUCACAGUCCCUUGCAUCCCUAAUAAUCAAUUCUGCAUUAAGAUUAGGAGUUUAAGACGACCAAGACUCAUACCCCCAUCCUUGAGAAAUACUGCUCUUGGAAAUAACUCUACAAGAACCUGAAUUGUAAGGAACCUCCCG